rnacentral:rRNA from 1 species
GACGAACGCUGGCGGCGCGCUUUAUACAUGCAAGUCGAACGAGAAGCCAGAGCUUGCUCUGGUGGAAAGUGGCGAACGGGUGAGUAACACGUGAGAAACCUGCCCAAAGACUGGGAUAAGCCGAGGAAACUUGGUCUAAUACCGGAUACCUUCUUUUUAUCACAUGUUAAAAAGAAGAAAUGCUCCGGCGCUUUGGGAUGGUCUCGCGACCUAUCAGCUUGUUGGUGAGGUAAAAGCUCACCAAGGCAUCGACGGGUAGCUGGUCUGAGAGGAUGUCCAGCCACAUUGGGACUGAGAUACGGCCCAAACUCCUACGGGAGGCAGCAGUAGGGAAUCUUGCACAAUGAGGGAAACCUUGAUGCAGCGACGCCGCGUGCGGGACGAAGGCCCUAGGGUUGUAAACCGCUUUCAGUAGGGACGAAAGUGACGGUACCUACAGAAGAAGCCCCGGCAACUAUGUGCCAGCAGCCGCGGUAAU